rnacentral:rRNA from 1 species
CCUACGGGUGGCAGCAGUAGGGAAUAUUGCUCAAUGGGGGAAACCCUGAAGCAGCAACGCCGCGUGGAGGAUGAAGGUUUUAGGAUUGUAAACUCCUUUUGUGAGAGAAGAUAAUGACGGUAUCUCAAGAAUAAGCACCGGCUAACUCCGUGCCAGCAGCCGCGGGACUACGGCGGGUGCAAGCGUUACUCGGAAUCAAUGGGCGUAAAGAGUGCGCAGGCGGGCUUGUUAGUCAGAUGUGAAAUCCUGUAGCUUAACUACAGAACUGGAUUUGAAACUGUGAGUCUAGAGUGGGGGAGAGGUAGGUGGAAUUCGUGGUGUAGGGGUAAAAUGCGUAGAUAUCAAGAGGAAUACUCAUUGCGAAGGCGACCUACUGGAACAUUACUGACGCUCAUGCACGAAAGCGUGGGGAGCAAACAGGAUUAGACACCCGAGUAGUC